UACGUAGGGACCGAGCGUUGUCCGGAAUCAUUGGGCGUAAAGAGCGUGUAGGCGGCUUGCUAAGUCUUGCGUGAAAUCUCGGGGCUCAACCCCGAGCGGUCGUGGGAAACUGGCAGGCUAGAGUGCGGGAGAGGAGAAUGGAAUUCCUGGUGUAGCGGUGAAAUGCGCAGAUAUCAGGAAGAACACCCGUGGCGAAGGCAGGUCCCUGGGCAUUAACUGACGCUGAGGAGCGAAAGCAUGGGGAGCGAACAGG
rnacentral:rRNA from 1 species